rnacentral:rRNA from 1 species
UACGGAGGAUCCGAGCGUUAUCCGGAUUUAUUGGGUUUAAAGGGUGCGCAGGCGGGAGAUUAAGUCGGCGGUGAAAUUUUGCAGCUCAACUGUAAAAGUGCCUUCGAAACUGGUUUCCUUGAGUGUGGAUGAAGUAGGCGGAAUUUGUGGUGUAGCGGUGAAAUGCAUAGAUAUCACGAGGAACUCCGAUUGCGCAGGCAGCUUACUAAACUACUACUGACGCUCAGGCACGAAGGCGUGGGGAUCAAACAGGAUUAGAUACCCGUGUA